rnacentral:lncRNA from 1 species
AGGUAUAUUGCGGCCAGGCAACUGUGCAGAAGAAAAUUAGUUGCUUUCGUUUUAAAUCUUGGUCGAGUUGUAAAGUUGGGAGGUUGCGCAGGAGGCACCCUAAGGGGGUGUUUUGCGUGAUUUUGGACUGGGUGGACCCCAUCCUCUUCCCUUUAUGGCAGCCGUCUGAGGGACAGCAGAAGCGUCCUUCUGGGGUCACUCAGACCACGCAGCUCCUGGAGCCUCGGAUCGGCUACUUCAGACACAGACGUCUCUGAGUCGUCAAUGCCGAUUUGGACUUCCCCUGGGGAAGUAAACUUGGGUCUCCUGGUGACCCGGACUGGCCUUCCCUUGAGGAAGGAAACUCUCCCUGGGUGUGCGCAUGACUCUCGGCCAGGGAGGAAUGGACAAAAGGAAAAAGGAGGGGUACUCACCCAGCGUCUGCCGAAUUGGACUGGAGUAGCUGCAGCAGCUGUGACCUGGCGGCAAGUAACCGGACGAAAUGGACCGAUGGCCGUGGAGGAGAAGCCUGACCUGACUGAGGGAGAGGCCUGAUCCGACCAGGAGGGGAGUCUUCCCGAGCCUCUGGGGGGCUUAGGAGGUGUCCCCUCCCGUGUUUCGGCACCAAUGAAAGGCAAUGGAAGGGCACCAUGGAUCAAUAAGGCGGAGAGGCGAGACAAAGAGGGCAAAAAUCUUCUUUAUUGAGCUCUCAGGUGAGGUUCACUGGUCCGCAGCGGGAGGGCCAGGGAAGUCGCACUGUGCCAAAGGUGCAGCGCACUUUUAUGGAUGCUGGGGUUUUCCAAGCAGUGAAGCACUUGCCGUGUUGAACUGAAUGCACUACUGGAGAAUGUUCUGGGUCCAAGAUGCUCUUGAGAGAAGACUAGGCUUUUCAAAUCAAACACUCAAAGGAAUCAUGCAACCCUCUUAUGACUGGGAUGCCGUCAUGUGCCACUGACCAAUGCUAUCUCUCCAGAAAACCAUUCAAGACUCUUAAAAAAUCAGACUUAUAAUAAAUAUACAUAAAAUGAAGACACCAACUGCUCUUUGACAUGACUACGAUAAUGUCUGUGCUAUGUGGAAGCACAUUUAAAAAGAGCCUAUUCGGCAAAAGGGUUUUAUUUAUUGCUGAGAAGUGUCCUGCCAGAAAACUGCUAUUCUCAGCUCUACUUACAUUGACUAAUAGUGAGUGGAAGUGAUGUGUGGAUAAAAAGCAAAUGUGUCUUUUCUACAUCUCUUUGUUAAUUUAUUCACAGAAGAAAGAGGAGGAUGCAGAUAGAAGAUGAAAGAAGACAUGAUUACUAAAAAAUCAUGGGGAAGUCUUUUUAUCAAGGAAAAAACCAUAAGGGAUAAUGUGAGAAGAAAAUAUAUUAUUUUGCUAAGCCUCUGAAAUGUCAGUAUACAAUCUGCAUUGCUUUAACAAAUAUAUUAUUCCUUCAGUUUUGAGUCUUCAGGAUAUGAUUCAGUUCCCCAGUGAAUCAAAACUACAAGGAGAAUAACAUUUGUUAAGGUAAUAGAUGUAGGGAAGACCCAUUAUGUUUGGCCAAAAUCUUUUUCACCCCCUGUCGCAGGCAAUCAUUAUUCUACUCUCUGCUUCUAUUAGUUUGAAUUUUCUUUUA